AUGUUUCUGAAAACACCUUCAUCUGGCACCUCGCCUUGCAAAUUAUUGAAGGAUACAUCCAGUUUGGAUAAUGAUGUCAAAUUCUGUAGAACUACUGGGAUUGAUCCUGACAGGUUGUUGUGUGCUAGGUACAGCUCUUGCAGGUUUCCAAUACUACCAAGGGCUUCAGGAAUAUUACCAGAGAACUUAUUCAUGGUCAGGUUCAAGAAAAAUUCUUGUGAGAUCAGACAUAUUGGAUAUUGA
rnacentral:rRNA from 1 species